CGUAUCUCCAUGGGGUGCCCGUCCGGGCUGAGAGGUCUUUUUGUGAGACCAACCCAUCGAACCUGAUCCGGAUCAUGCCGGCGGAGGGAUUGCGAGAUGACGAGUG
rnacentral:ncRNA from 2 species